GUCUUCUCUAAAUUUUUUAUUGACUUACAGUCCUUGCAACGAAUUAUAAAUAUUAAUCAAAUUUUUGAUAUUCAAUAUCCAGAUAGUAGUAUUAUAUAUAGAAAAAUUAUAAGAAGUUAUCAUAUAAGUACCUUGUGAAGCAACUGAUUGCUUGUUUUCCUUAUUCUUUGGUCUGUUUGGGUCAAGGAAAGUAAUAUAUGCAGGACAGUUUCUCUUUCAAUGAUCUAACUUCUUACAGAAGAAGCAUUCUGUCUGGCUCUUAUCGAUCUUUGACUUUUUACCCUGCUUUAGCUUUAGAUCGGCGGCAUGAUUCUUCUGCAUCUUUUUCUUCUUUUCUCUCUUGAAGGAAUGACGACAUGCAGACGAUCCUCCCACAAUAUGCACCGGCUCCUUCUGGAGCUGAUGCUCCUUCUUGAAUGUCUGCAGCAACUCUAACAAAUCAUAGUAGUUCACUGCAGCCUUAGUCAUUUUAUAAUGACUUAAAAAAGAUAGGUAGGACUUUGGUAGUG
rnacentral:lncRNA from 1 species